rnacentral:tRNA from 2 species
UAAAUUAAUGCCUGCUGGUUUGGGUAAAUAGCUGUUAACUAUUUUUUGUGGGAUCGAGGCCCACUAAUUU